rnacentral:rRNA from 1 species
GACGAACGCUGGCGGCGUGCUUAACACAUGCAAGUCGAACGGAAAGGCCCUGCUUUUGUGGGGUGCUCGAGUGGCGAACGGGUGAGUAACACGUGAGUAACCUGCCCUUGACUUUGGGAUAACUUCAGGAAACUGGGGCUAAUACCGGAUAGGAGCUCCUGCUGCAUGGUGGGGGUUGGAAAGUUUCGGCGGUUGGGGAUGGAUUCGCGGCUUAUCAGCUUGUUGGUGGGGUAGUGGCUUACCAAGGCUUUGACGGGUAGCCGGCCUGAGAGGGUGACCGGCCACAUUGGGACUGAGAUACGGCCCAGACUCCUACGGGAGGCAGCAGUGGGGAAUAUUGCACAAUGGGCGGAAGCCUGAUGCAGCAACGCCGCGUGCGGGAUGACGGCCUUCGGGUUGUAAACCGCUUUCGCCUGUGACGAAGCGGGAGUGACGGUAAUGGGUAAAGAAGCACCGGCUAACUACGUG